GAAAUGCGAUAAGUAAUGUGAAUUGCAGAAUUCAGUGAAUCAUCGAAUCUUUGAACGCACCUUGCGCUCCUUGGUAUUCCUUGGAGCAUGCCUGUUUGAGUAUCAUGAAAUCUUCAAAGUAAAUCUUUUGUUAACUCAAUUGGUUUCUACUUUGGUAUUGGAGGUCUUUGCAGCUUCACACCUGCUCCUCUUUGUUCAUUAGCUGGAUCUCAGUGUUAUGCUUGGUUCCACUCUGCGUGAUAAGUUAUCUAUCGCUGAGGACACUGUAAAAGGUGGCCAAGGUAAAUGCAGAUGAACCGCUUCUAAUAGUCCAUUGACUUGGACAAUACUUUUAUGAUCUGAUCUCAAAUCAGGUAGGACUACCCGCUGAACUUAAGC
rnacentral:misc_RNA from 1 species